rnacentral:rRNA from 1 species
AGGGGAACAACAGCUGGAAACGGCUGCUAAUACCCCAUAGGCUGAGGAGCAAAAGGAGGAAUCCGCCCAAGGAGGGGCUCGCGUCUGAUUAGUUAGUUGGUGAGGCAAUGGCUUACCAAGGCGACGAUCAGUAGCUGGUCCGAGAGGAUGAUCAGCCACACUGGGACUGAGACACGGCCCAGACUCCUACGGGAGGCAGCAGUGGGGAAUUUUCCGCAAUGGGCGAAAGCCUGACGGAGCAAUGCCGCGUGAAGGCAGAAGGCCCACGGGUCAUGAACUUCUUUUCUCGGAGAAGAAACAAUGACGGUAUCUGAGGAAUAAGCAUCGGCUAACUCUGGGCCAGCAGCCGCGGUAAGACAGAGGAUGCANGCGUUAUCCGGAAUGAUU